GAAACUCUGACCCAGACAAUGCCGCGUGAGACGAUGAAGGUGAGCGAUUGUAAAGCUCUUUUCCUGGGAACGAAACAAAUGACGGUACCCAGGGAAAUAAGACCCCGGCUAACUACGUGCCAGCAGCCGCGGUAAUACGUAGGGGGCGAGCGUUGUCCGGAAUGACUGGGCGUAAAGGGUGCGUAGGUGGUUUAAUAAGUUAGAAGUGUAAUACCCAGGGCUUAACUCGGGUGCUGCUUCUAAAACUGUUAGGCUUGAGUGUAGUAGAGGAAAGCGGAAUUCAAUGUGUAGCGGUGGAAUGCGUAGAUAUAUUGAAGAACAUCAGUGGCGAAGGCGGCUUUCUGGACUAUAACUGACACUGAGCACGAAAGCGUGGGGAGCAACAGGAUUAGAUACCCUGGUAGUCCACGCCGUAAACGAUGGAUACUAGAUGCAGGAGGUAUUCACUCCUUCUGUGUCGCAGCUAACGCAAUAAGUAUCCCGCCCUGGGGAGUACGAUCGCAAGAUUAAAACUCAAAGGAAUUGACGGGGACCGCAC
rnacentral:rRNA from 1 species